AACGAACGCUGGCGGCAGGCCUAACACAUGCAAGUCGAACGCUCCGCAAGGAGAGUGGCAGACGGGUGAGUAACACGUGGGAAUCUUCCUAUCGGUACGGAAUAGCUCAGGGAAACUUGAGGUAAUACCGCAUACGCCCUUCGGGGGAAAGAUUUAUCGCCGAUAGAUGAGCCCGCGUCUGAUUAGCUAGUUGGUGGGGUAAUGGCCUACCAAGGCGACGAUCAGUAGCUGGUCUGAGAGGAUGACCAGCCACACUGGGACUGAGACACGGCCCAGACUCCUACGGGAGGCAGCAGUGGGGAAUAUUGGACAAUGGGCGCAAGCCUGAUCCAGCCAUGCCGCGUGAGUGACGAAGGUCUUCGGAUUGUAAAGCUCUUUUGCCAGGGACGAUAAUAACGGUACCUGGAGAAUAAGCCCCGGCUAACUUCGUGCCAGCCGCCGCUGUAAGAC
rnacentral:rRNA from 1 species